CAUUAUCGUACAAAAUGUGAGGGGCAUGCAAGGGCUGUCGCUGACUCUAUAAAGUCGUGCACGCCCGAGUGUGUCCUCUCACAUAAUAAUCCAUCUCACCCUUUGUGCAUCACCGCGUGGGCACCCUUUGGGAUCAUCUCGGAGGGGGCUCGCGUUUUCACACAAACCCCCCCUUUUAAAAGUGUAAAAUGACCUCAUUUAUGCGCUAACCCGCAAUCAAUACAACUUUCAACAACGGAUCUCUUGGCUCUCGCAUCGAUGAAGAACGCAGCGAAAUGCGAUACGUAAUGUGAAUUGCAGAAUUCAGUGAAUCAUCGAAUCUUUGAACGCACCUUGCGCCCCUUGGUAUUCCGAGGGGCACACCCGUUUGAGUGUCGUGAAAACCUCAACCUCCUUGGUUUCUUCUGGAGACCAAAGCAGGCUUGGACUUUGGAGGCCUUUGCUGGCACCUCUCUUUUGAAGGCCAGCUCCUCUUAAACAAAUUAGCAGGGUCCUCUUUGCCGAUCCUCGACGUGUGAUAAGAUGUUUCCAUGUCUUGGUUUCUGGCUCUGUCACCUUUUGGGACCCGCUUCUAACCGUCUUGACCUUGCGUCGAGACAACGUUCGAGCAUGUCUCCCUUUCUCCGGGAGGCUCCCUUGACCCCACGAACCCUUGACCUCAAAUCGGG
rnacentral:rRNA from 1 species